rnacentral:rRNA from 1 species
UACGGAGGAGGCAAGCGUUAUCCGGAAUUAUUGGGCGUAAAGCGUCCGCAGGUGGCACUUCAAGUCUGUCGUCAAAGACUGGGGCUUAACCCUGGAAAGGCGGUGGAAACUGAAGAGCUAGAGUAUGGUAGGGGUAGAGGGAAUUCCCGGUGUAGCGGUGAAAUGCGUAGAUAUCGGGAAGAACACCAGUGGCGAAAGCGCUCUACCGGGCCAUAACUGACACUGAGGGACGAAAGCUAGGGGAGCGAAAGGG